GAGUUUGAUCUUGGCUCAGAACGAACGCUGGCGGCAUGCCUAACACAUGCAAGUCGAACGGGAUCCUGGCUUCGGUCAGGUGAGAGUGGCGGACGGGUGAGUAACGCGUGGGAACCUGCCCAGUGGUGGGGGAUAACUGCGGGAAACUGCAGCUAAUACCGCAUGAGCCCGAGAGGGGAAAGAUUUAUCGCCAUUGGAGGGGCCCGCGUUCGAUUAGGUAGUUGGUGGGGUAAUGGCCUACCAAGCCGACGAUCGAUAGCUGGUCUGAGAGGAUGAUCAGCCACACUGGGACUGAGAUACGGCCCAGACUCCUACGGGAGGCAGCAGUGGGGAAUAUUGGACAAUGGGGGCAACCCUGAUCCAGCAAUGCCGCGUGAGUGAUGAAGGCCUUC
rnacentral:rRNA from 1 species